rnacentral:rRNA from 1 species
GAUGAACGCUAGCGAUAGGCCUAACACAUGCAAGUCGAGGGGCAUCACAUGAAGUAGCAAUACGGAUGGUGGCGACCGGCGCACGGGUGAGUAACACGUAUGCAACCUGCCUUCAACAAGGGGAUAACCCGUUGAAAGACGGACUAAUACCCUAUAACACAGGGGUCCCGCAUGGGGAUAUUUGUUAAAGGACAACCGGUUGAAGAUGGGCAUGCGUUCCAUUAGCUAGUUGGCGGGGUAAGGGCCCACCAAGGCAACGAUGGAUAGGGGGAACUGAGAGGUUUAUCCCCCACACUGGUACUGAGACACGGACCAGACUCCUACGGGAGGCAGCAGUGAGGAAUAUUGGUCAAUGGACGCAAGUCUGAACCAGCCACGUCGCGUGAAGGAAGACGGCCCUACGGGUUGUAAACUUCUUUUAUACGGGAAUAAAGUGCCCCACGCGUGGGGUUUUGCAUGUACCGUAUGAAUAAGGAUCGGCUAACUCCGUG